CCUACGGGCGACUGCAGUGAGGAAUAUUGGUCAAUGGACGAGAGUCUGAACCAGCCAAGUAGCGUGAAGGAUGACUGCCCUAUGGGUUGUAAACUUCUUUUAUAUGGGUAUAAAAUGUUCCACGUGUGGGAUUUUGUAUGUACCAUAUGAAUAAGGAUCGGCUAACUCCGUGCCAGCAGCCGCGGUAAUACGGAGGAUCCGAGCGUUAUCCGGAUUUAUUGGGUUUAAAGGGAGCGUAGGUGGAUUGUUAAGUCAGUUGUGAAAGUUUGCGGCUCAACCGUAAAAUUGCAGUUGAAACUGGCAGUCUUGAGUACAGUAGAGGUGGGCGGAAUGCGUGGUGUAGCGGUGAAAUGCUUAGAUAUCACGAAGAACUCCGAUUGCGAAGGCAGUUCACUGGACUGCAACUGACACUGAGGCUCGAAAGUGUGGGUAUCAAACAGGAUUAGAUACCCCAGUAGUC
rnacentral:rRNA from 1 species